UCGCAUCUCUCUCGUGCACCCACAUCGGCUCCCUCUCCCGCAUCACAUCGCCACCCCACCGGCCACCGCGCAUCUCUCUCGCUUAGUCGCACACCCGCAUCGGCACCCUCUUCCGCAUCUUGCUCCGCCGCCCCCACCACAUCUCUAUCGCCGCCACAUCCUAUCCAUCUCCCGCAUGGCGCUCGCCUAUCCCCAUCGCGUGCAUCGCCGUUGCAUUCUCUCCAUCUCACUCAACGCGCUCCCCCGUACCGGCGCCAGCAUGUUGUCCGCCUCCGUGCCGCAUGGGCUCCGCUUCGUCUCCCCCUCCUAGCGUCGGCCGGUUCGCCUUCCCCGCCCAAUCGAUACGCCCAUGCACCUAGCCCCGCGAUCCCCUGGCAUUCAACCAUCAGCCACCCACAUUGUCUCUCGUAAAUGCAAUCCAAUCCAAAUCAAUUAUUUCAUCCAGUUCGUUUCCCUCUCUUCAAACUGUCGCCCCAUGUCUUCACUCCAAGAAAAUGCCUGCAUCUAAUGCGGCAGCUAUAGCCUUCUUAAAUCAGGAGGUUCUUUUCUUGCCGUAAGUAUUUCUAUUGGGUCGACUCUGAUCUGAGUGACGGAUGCCACAGGCAAUUUGUGUUCUUGUUUCCUGGAGUAUCUUCAGUCCCUGGAUAUAUCGAUCAAAAUUGAGGAGUUUCUCUCCGUCCGUUGCUCCCGCUGCUGCAGAAACGAGUGAAUCUGUUCCGAGGUAAAUUUCUCCAACCAAUAUGUGCCUCUGAUUGAUAAAAUGCCUACACAUAUACUGCAUUUGAGGUAGACAGGUAGCAUCAGCCAUCAGGUGAUCUUCAGCAAACGACUUUUGAAUGAGUUGUCCAAUGAUGUAGCCUACGGAACCACGUUAAGCCAUUAAGGUAACAGAUGAUGUCUGAGGCAACUGUUCAAUUUUCAAGAUGCAUUUUUUGCAUAUUACACAUGGAUGCACAAUUGCACACUAUUCACAAAGGUGACAAUAUUUUCCGGCUUUUACACUUAUUUUCGUUCAUGCUUCCAAUAAGUGUUAAGAAAAGAACCAUAUGUACUACUUCAGUUGCUGUUUGAUUCCAAAUAUUUAUCAUCGAAACAACAUUCUCUCCCAUAAAAUUUUUAGCCUGCAGAAGCAGAACUCCAAUGCUAAUCUUCCUAAUCUUCUCAUUUUUAACUCAUGAAACGUAAACAACCUACCAACAGGUUCUUCGGUUUCUCCUUCUAAUUACUAUCUAAACUAAACUUAUAGGGCCAUCAUGUUCUGCCUGUCCCUAACACAACAGUUGGACUACCACAUCUGGAAGGUCCUAACCAUACCACCUCUUAUUUAUUGCCAUUUUUGUUGGAUUUACAUAAGAAAAUCAUCACAAACAUAGUACUCCUAAGGCACAAUAAUUUCUUUUCUUUUCAUAUGUAAGUUGUUACAGUUUCUCAUAAUUACUAUACCAGUUUAUUUAACUAUUACAAUGUUCCGCAGCAACGCGGCGGAGUAUCAUCUAGUUCAGCAUACGAAAAUGAUCAGGUAAUCAGCAAUUAAUGACGUCUACACAUCUAAGAUAAGUUUUUGGUUCAAAUCUAAAAUGCAAACGUACGUUAAAAGGAUUUUGUGAUCACAAAUUAAAGUCGCUCAUGUGAUUUUCUUAGGAAAUAUUGGUCCACGCAUUACGGAGCAAAAAUGAACAAACAAAUUUUGCUUUGAUCCAUACAUACCAGUAGCUAGAUCUAGGAAUCCUAGACUACUGGGACAAUCUAAAGCGUCCAAUUGGGGGAGGCUCUACCUGCUACAACUUCUUCCAGAAUCAGAAUCCUACACUACUGGGACAAUCUAAAGCGUCUAAUUGGGGGAGGCUCUACCUGCUACAACUUCUCCCAGAAUCAGAAGCUCCCAAAACAGUUCAGUUUUUGGUCUAGAUUUUGAAAAGCUGUAUAGUUGUAGAAUCUAGAAAAUGAACUAGAAGCUAGAAGCUGAGAAACCCAGCUUUUCCAUAUUCUCAAAAGCUGAAUAUCAACUAGCUAGUUCUUAGAAUUUUAAGCUUCCCAAACAGGUCCUAAUCGUACAAAUCUGUAACUCCUGUUGUUCCAUAAUUCUUAACGUUUUAUACCAUGAUACAAUUUUUAAAGGGAAGUCCGAAUUACAUCCUUGAACUAUUUGGUAAGUACGAAUUACCGCGCUAGACCCGAAAAUAAGAUAUUUUUCACCCUCAACUAUCAAUACUGGAUAAAAAUAAAUCCCCCGAGCAGCUUUGCAAGCGUAUUGAUCCUACGUGGCAGUCCAGUCAGCAAUUCUUUUAUUAAAAAUAAGAUGGGCCCAUCUGUCAGAUAUCUCUAUGUCCCUCUCACCCCCUCUCUCUCUCUCGCGUCAGAGCCCGGAGGAGUCCCGCACACCUGUGGCGUAGGCGAGACGCGCGCUGGCGGCAGCAGAGAUGGCGGCUAUGGGCGCCCUCUCCAUCGCCCCGAGCUCUGCCUACCGCCGUCCUCGGCUCGCUUUGCAGCCCUCUCCACCAACCCGAGCGCCGGUGGCUACGAGCAGCCCUCGACGAGCUGCGCGUCGGCAACUGCUGGCCUCCCGAGCUCCGUGGCCUCGAGCUGACCUGAGUGCCGGUGGCUGCGGGAAUCCCUUUCGCCGCCCCCAACAAGUCGCAAGUCACAUGCCUGCGACCAUGGACGCGCCGAGUUGCAUGCCGCUGCUGUCCUUGAGGUGAUUGAGGGGGAAGAGAGAGAGAGAGAGAGAGUAGAGAGAGAUAGAGAGGUGAGGGGGAAGAAAGAGGGUGAGAGAUUGAUAGGUGGGGCUCAUUGAUUAAAAAAAGAUCGCUGACUGGUCUGCCACAUAGGACCACAACCAGUCCGGUUUGAGUCCGGGGGUAAUUUAUCUGGCUAAUAGUUGAGGGUGAAAGAUAUAUGGUUUUCCAGUUUGAGGGGGUAAUUCAUAUUGACCCAAUAUCUCAAGGGUGUAAUUCAGGAUUUUCCCUUUAUAAAAUAUGUGUUUCACUAUGUAUUUCUAUUAUAAUAUAUACAAUAAAUAAAUACAUUUUACUUUAUUAUAGUAUUUUGCAAGACAAAUAUAUAUGUUGUUCUAGUGCCCUUAAACUGAAUAUUUAUAAAGUUAUCGAUACUCAAAGAUAUAAAAGUUUGAUCUAAAACUUGUCUAAGACAUCAAAAAUUUUAAAACCGGAGAGUUUUAAGGUCAAACAACAUGACAUAAUUUAUUUUACAAGAGAAUAUAUGAUGAACCCUGAGUUCCACUCGUGACACUCAAGGCUGUUGUUUGGCCUGACUUUUCGGUGAGUUGGUGAUAACUAUGAUUUGGGAGAAACGUUGACGAUCCGACUGCAACCGUACGAGACGUUGUGUUGCGCCUUAGCGAUCGAUACACCUCUCCAUGGGUUAUUGAUCUUGCCGGUGUAGAUAAACCCUACUUCUGCAAGCAAAUAAAAGAAACAAGCAAUAACAAGAUAAAAGCAAUCUGAUAUUGCAAAUAGGAAUUUAAUACAAAUGAUAAGUUGGGGUUCCGAAGAACAAGCAGACGGACGGUCUAGCCGACACGCGCGCUGCAAGCAAGUAGCAAUGGCUAAACUUUAAUCUAUCAAAACCCAAGAAACUGUAAAGGGGUACGUAACUAUUUAUAAAGGUGUGAGGACGAACAAGUGGACUCUAGGGUCAUGCUCCACCUGGUUGGGGCACACCCCACAUGGGCCCCACUUGGGCCGGUGUCCCAAACGAAGUUACAAGCCCAAAUGCCCAUGACAGGUAACACAACACCUUGUUUUUGUGUUUGCGGCCAAACGAGAUGGAGUCUGGUGAUGAGGCCAGAUCCGUUGGAAAGAGGACUCCGAGAGCUUUCCAUCAAGUACUCGUGGGCCAAAAACGGAGGUCGUAUGCAGAUUCGGUAGCCGUUUGAAGUCAGCAGUGUAGCAGGUGGCCGAAUCGGAUUCCAGCACUUGUAGGACUUGAUCUCGAUAUCUUCUUGUUCAUCUAUGAUAUGAGCAAUGGUUCCAUCCGUGGUAGCCAUGGUCACAUCAUCCUCCCCUUCUUCACGAAAAACCGUUCUCGGUUUUUCUAUAUGGUGCUCUUUACGUAGUCCAUUUACAACAACCUGUUUCUUCCUAUCAAAACAAGGCAAACUAGAGACAAUUUGGUUAGCAAUAACAUUUCUCUCUAACUUGCAUAUUUUAUCCACAUGUACAGGAAGUUAUAAAUCCGAGCAGAUGUAAACCCUAUGCAAAAAAUAUAUUCCAAGAUUAUUAUAUUCGCCAAAGAUGUGAAAUAUAACAUUGGUUGGACAUGGCAAAUCAUAGUUAGCAAAUAAUUUCUCCUUCAAAUUAUCAAGCUCAUAAAAAUCAUCAAAGUGAACAUAGCCCAAAGUAUUUAAAAAAGAUGUCAAUUCACGUUCCUCUACUUCAUUAGCAAUGUGAAUAACAUGCUUAAAAUCAUCACGUAAAGAACCAACAUUAGAAAUAGGCGUUGAUAUAAGUGAAGUAUUAUCACACAACUCUUCUUUAUCACAAGGAACAACAAACAAAUCAACUUGUGACAAAGGAAUCUCAACAGUUUGUUCCACUAAGGGUUGCUCUACUAUAGCAUGAAAAGUGGACAAAUUUAGUUCAUUAACAACACACUCACCUUGAUUAAUUUCAGCACCAUUUAGUUUACCUUCGAUGAUCUCUUUAGAUGAUGAAGGUGCAUCGAAUUCGAGUGUGAACAAUGGGAUUAGCGGCUCUUUCAUGUCUCUUUCCUCAUUUUCAUGAUUAUGCACUUCCUGCAAAUGGUUAGUAAUAGGAGGCAAAGACAUAGCGUGCUUCUUUUUCAUAUCCUCCUCUAUUUUACUUUCAGCAUUGCAAGCAAGUUGUAACAAAUGAGAAAGAGAUCUAUAUUUUUCACAAGCAAGCAUGUCCUGAAUUUCUUUGUUAUGCCCACGUAAAAACCUCAAUUCUGUAGCUUCUUCGCAUUCAUCUAAGCCACAACGUAAUAAACAAGCAUGAAAAUCAUGAUAAUAUGAAGUAACACUUUUGGUAUUGUCGAGAUUAUGGGUACCCCAUACCCACACGGCAUGGUUAUCCGACUAGCUAUAGGGGAUAACUUAUAUCUAUAUAAUAUGUAACGGAUCAUGACUUGGGUAUUACGUUUCCCUGUAUAUUGUGGAACGGCCUAAAGUCCUAGUUUGAUAAGAUUGUAAAGUAGAUUUAGGAAACCGAUACCGUAUUGGUUAAGGUUUCUAUCUUGUAAUCCUGUCCCCCAUCCUAUAUAAGGUGGGCAGGAGGCCCUCUAGGGGCAGGAGCACAUAUGAUCGUCAGAUAUAUAAUACACCCGGCGGAUCCAAAUCCCCAAACAGGAGUAGGGUAUUACCUCUCAUUGAGAGGGCCUGAACCUGUCUAAAUCCUUUGUCUCCACAUCAAUCCACUUUUAGGUUUCGUGCGCUACCCCGUUUUAUUAUUGCCGAAUUCGUGUUUCGACAGUUGGCACGCCAGGUAGGGGUGCGUCGAGUUUUCCGUCAAAGUACGAUGGAAUCAAUUUUCAGGAGUCGCCGGCUUCGUCUUCGCCUAUGUAGCGUGAGAUCCUCUGCCGUCGACGCCAUCUUCUGAUCAAAUCAAUCUACAGGAAGAUAUCGGGUUUGUCGUUCUAAUCUAUCGUCUUUAGAUUGAAAUCUAAUCACAGAUUGAUGCCCUGGUAUUUUUCUUGUUUUCAUGUCUCGACGAUUUGGCUAUCCGCCGCACGUCGGGGAAAGCUAUCCGCUGCCAGGACGAUCGACGGGAUUGGCCACCGUACUGUACAUCGCCAUGAUCUCGACCAAACCGCACAUACAUCUCGUCCCUGCUGGGGCUUGGCGCUCGCGUCCUCCUGGCCGGUUUCGAAUCACGCGAUCUGGGUCAUCGCCAAUAAUGACCUGGCCGAUGCAAACAUGCAUUUGUGCCGGACAAAUCAAACAUAUCCUGGGCUUGGAUGGAUCGAUAUUUAUUCGUUUGCAUGUGCACUCAAUUAAUUUUCCGGCCACGAUGUCACGACUGCGCCAUCACCAUCCAUCUACAGAAGCAUGCAUGCAUACCCAAAUUUAUACAGCAUACAUUGUAUAUAUGCUUUGUAUUACUAAUCAAAUCGAUUUGGGUUUUUACUUA